rnacentral:rRNA from 1 species
CAGUAGCCGCGGGAAUACGAAGGGUGCAAGCGUUAAUCGGAAUUACUGGGCGUAAAGCGUGCGCAGGCGGUUCGUUAAGACAGAUGUGAAAUCCCCGGGCUUAUCCUGGGAACUGCAUUUGUGACUGGCAAGCUAGAGUAUGGCAGAGGGGGGUGGAAUUCCGCGUGUAGCAGUGAAAUGCGUAGAUAUGCGGAGGAACACCGAUGGCGAAGGCAGCCCCCUGGGCCAAUACUGACGCUCAUGCACGAAAGCAUGGGGAGCAAACAGGAUUAGAUACCCCAGUAGUCCCUGUCUCUUAUAC